rnacentral:rRNA from 1 species
GAUGAACGCUGGCGGCGUGCCUAAUACAUGCAAGUCGAGCGAACAGACGAGGAGCUUGCUCCUCUGACGUUAGCGGCGGACGGGUGAGUAACACGUGGAUAACCUACCUAUAAGACUGGGAUAACUUCGGGAAACCGGAGCUAAUACCGGAUAAUAUAUUGAACCGCAUGGUUCAAUAGUGAAAGACGGUUUUGCUGUCACUUAUAGAAGGAUCCGCGCCGCAUUAGCUAGUUGGUAAGGUAACGGCUUACCAAGGCGACGAUGCGUAGCCGACCUGAGAGGGUGAUCGGCCACACUGGAACUGAGACACGGUCCAGACUCCUACGGGAGGCAGCAGUAGGGAAUCUUCCGCAAUGGGCGAAAGCCUGACGGAGCAACGCCGCGUGAGUGAUGAAGGUCUUCGGAUCGUAAAACUCUGUUAUUAAGGAAGAACAAAUGUGUAAGUAACUAUGCACGUCUUGACGGUACCUAAUCAGAAAGCCACGGCUAACUACGUG